UGCAUACUUCUUAUAGCCAAGCCUACAUGCUUUUUAAUGGGUACAAAAUUAAAUAAACGAACCCACGUAUUUAAGACAGACUGAAACAAUAAUAAAACAUUAUAAGGCAAUAGCGUAGCUAGUAAACAAAUUCUAAAAGGUUAUAGUUAACCUCUCAUUCAUUAAAAAAAGAACCCUCCUGAACACCCUAGACUAUGACACUGUUAAACACAAUAAAUAUUUAAUUAGUGUUAUUUUAUUAU